rnacentral:rRNA from 1 species
CCUACGGGGGGCUGCAGUAGGGAAUCUUCCACAAUGGGCGAAAGCCUGAUGGAGCAACGCCGCGUGGGUGAAGAAGGUCUUCGGAUCGUAAAACCCUGUUGUUAGAGAAGAAAGUGCGUGAGAGUAACUGUUCACGUUUCGACGGUAUCUAACCAGAAAGCCACGGCUAACUCCGUGCCAGCAGCCGCGGUAAUACGGAGGAUGCGAGCGUUAUCCGGAUUUAUUGGGGUUAAAGGGUGCGUAGGCGGACAGUCAAGUCAGCGGUAAAAAUGCGGUGCUCAACGCCGUACAGCCGUUGAAACUGGCAGUCUUGAGUGGGCGAGAGGUAUGCGGAAUGCGUGGUGUAGCGGUGAAAUGCAUAGAUAGCACGCAGAACUCCGAUUGCGAAGGCAGCAUACCGGCGCCCUACUGACGCUGAGGCACGAAAGCGUGGGUAUCGAACAGGAGUAGAUACCCUUGUAGUC